rnacentral:rRNA from 1 species
AGAGUUUGAUCCUGGCUCAGGACGAACGCUGGCGGCGUGCCUAAUACAUGCAAGUCGUACGCUUCUUUUUCCACCGGAGCUUGCUCCACCGGAAAAAGAAGAGUGGCGAACGGGUGAGUAACACGUGGGUAACCUGCCCAUCAGAAGGGGAUAACACUUGGAAACAGGUGCUAAUACCGUAUAACAAUCGAAACCGCAUGGUUUUGAUUUGAAAGGCGCUUUCGGGUGUCGCUGAUGGAUGGACCCGCGGUGCAUUAGCUAGUUGGUGAGGUAACGGCUCACCAAGGCCACGAUGCAUAGCCGACCUGAGAGGGUGAUCGGCCACAUUGGGACUGAGACACGGCCCAAACUCCUACGGGAGGCAGCAGUAGGGAAUCUUCGGCAAUGGACGAAAGUCUGACCGAGCAACGCCGCGUGAGUGAAGAAGGUUUUCGGAUCGUAAAACUCUGUUGUUAGAGAAGAACAAGGAUGAGAGUAACUGUUCAUCCCUUGACGGUAUCUAACCAGAAAGCCACGGCUAACUACGUGCCAGCAGCCGCGGUAAUACGUAGGUGGCAAGCGUUGUCCGGAUUUAUUGGGCGUAAAGCGAGCGCAGGCGGUUUCUUAAGUCUGAUGUGAAAGCCCCCGGCUCAACCGGGGAGGGUCAUUGGAAACUGGGAGACUUGAGUGGAGAAGAGGAGAGUGGAAUUCCAUGUGUAGCGGUGAAAUGCGUAGAUAUAUGGAGGAACACCAGUGGCGAAGGCGGCUCUCUGGUCUGUAACUGACGCUGAGGCUCGAAAGCGUGGGGAGCAAACAGGAUUAGAUACCCUGGUAGUCCACGCCGUAAACGAUGAGUGCUAAGUGUUGGAGGGUUUCCGCCCUUCAGUGCUGCAGCUAACGCAUUAAGCACUCCGCCUGGGGAGUACGACCGCAAGGUUGAAACUCAAAGGAAUUGACGGGGGCCCGCACAAGCGGUGGAGCAUGUGGUUUAAUUCGAAGCAACGCGAAGAACCUUACCAGGUCUUGACAUCCUUUGACCACUCUAGAGAUAGAGCUUCCCCUUCGGGGGCAAAGUGACAGGUGGUGCAUGGUUGUCGUCAGCUCGUGUCGUGAGAUGUUGGGUUAAGUCCCGCAACGAGCGCAACCCUUAUUGUUAGUUGCCAUCAUUCAGUUGGGCACUCUAGCAAGACUGCCGGUGACAAACCGGAGGAAGGUGGGGAUGACGUCAAAUCAUCAUGCCCCUUAUGACCUGGGCUACACACGUGCUACAAUGGGAAGUACAACGAGUCGCGAAGUCGCGAGGCUAAGCUAAUCUCUUAAAGCUUCUCUCAGUUCGGAUUGUAGGCUGCAACUCGCCUACAUGAAGCCGGAAUCGCUAGUAAUCGCGGAUCAGCACGCCGCGGUGAAUACGUUCCCGGGCCUUGUACACACCGCCCGUCACACCACGAGAGUUUGUAACACCCGAAGUCGGUGAGGUAACCUUUUGGAGCCAGCCGCCUAAGGUGGGAUAGAUGAUUGGGGUGAAGUCGUAACAAGGUAACCA